UGCUCCUAGUACGAGAGGACCGGAGUGGACGUUCCACUGGUGUUCGGGUUGUCAUGCCAAUGGCAUUGCCCGGUAGCUACGAACGGAACUGAUAACCGCUGAAAGCAUCUAAGCGGGAAGCAGGCCUCAAGAUGAGAUUUCCCUGGGCCUUUAAGGCCCCCUAAGAGCCCUUAUAGACUAUGAGGUUGAUAGGCUGGGUGUGGAAGUGCAGUAAUGCAUUGAGCUAACCAGUACUAAUUGCUCGAGAGGCUUGACCAU
rnacentral:rRNA from 1 species